GAAAAAAAAAAAAACGUUUUAUCGGUGGCUGCUCAGAGAAAAUAGCCACAUGUUGAGUCCGUAGGGGCAUUACACUGGUUUGGCGACUUUGUUUCAUAUAAGAUCGCGAACAGUCGCUUUCUUGGACUGGACCGGGUGAAUUAGUUAAAGGGGAGGAAUGAGCCAGAAUGCUCAGGGAUGGCUGAAUGGAGGGAAACACCACUGUGGGGCUGUUUUUAAUGAAUGUUAAAAUGGCUAAAAUGGUUUAGCAUGAUAUGGCCGCUUUAAGAGUCCCUGUAAAGUCAGAAAAAAUGUCGUGUCACAUCACAGAUGUGUUGUGUAAACAGUAUAUCAGACUUCAAACCUGAGUACUGGUAGAUGAAGUCAAAAGCACUCCGCCACUUUGAAGAAGACGUAACAUAGGCUCCUUUGGUUAUUGGCCGAUAUGCUUUUAGCUAUGUUAGCAUUAAUAGCAUUGUUAGCGGUAGCUUAUUUUUAAUAAACAAAAACUUUUUGCUGCUGUGAUAGAGAACCGUGUCAUUCCCUGUCACGCUUUCGUCUGCGUUAGCAUUGAGCACAAUUAGCAAUAGCAUUUUCACUCACACAAGUUUUGAGUUUUGUUAAAUACUAUACACCAAAAAUUAAGACUACAUGCCUCUAAAGCCCUGACAGAGCCGUCUCGGGUUAUAGGCGUUAUGUUUUUGGCUACUAAGGAUUGUUUGUCACAACUGUAAAAAUAAGUCGUGCAAUUUAAAUCAAAAUUAAAAUAAAGUAAAACUACUGUCCUGACAAGACACCCUGACAACGUUGCAUUACUCAAUUAACAUUACUUGGAAUAAAGUACACCAAAAAUAAAGCAAAAUUGAGCUGAGCCCUUCCUGUCUCGCAGCAAAAGCAAAAUUCUACAUCCUGUUCUGUGGUUACCAUUUCACUUACACCACUUUAGAGGUUGCACUCUACUUCUGUUUUGUUUUUGUCUGGGUUUUUUGUGUGUGUAGAAUCAUGACUCAGGACAAAUGGCCUUUGUCCUCUGUAUUUGAUUAAAGAUUUUGUUUUA